AAACUCCUACGGGAGGCAGCAGUAGGGAAUUUUCGUCAAUGGGGGGAACCCUGAACGAGCAAUGCCGCGUGAGUGAGGAAGGUCUUCGGAUCGUAAAGCUCUGUUGUAAGAGAAAAACGGCACUCAUAGGGAAUGAUGAGUGAGUGAUGGUAUCUUACCAGAAAGUCACGGCUAACUACGUGCCAGCAGCCGCGGUAAUACGUAGGUGGCGAGCGUUAUCCGGAAUGAUUGGGCGUAAAGGGUGCGUAGGUGGCAGAUCAAGUCUGGAGUAAAAGGUAUGGGCUCAACCCGUACUGGCUCUGGAAACUGAUCAGCUAGAGAACAGAAGAGGACGGCGGAACUCCAUGUGUAGCGGUAAAAUGCGUAGAUAUAUGGAAGAACACCGGUGGCGAAGGCGGCCGUCUGGUCUGGAUUCUGACACUGAAGCACGAAAGCGUGGGGAGCAAAUAGGAUUAGAUACCCUAGUAGUCCACGCCGUAAACGAUGAGAACUAGGUGUUGGGGGAAUAACUCAGUGCCGCAGUUAACGCAGUAAGUUCUCCGCCUGGGGAGUAUGCACGCAAGUGUGAAACUCAAAGGAAUUGACGGGGGCCCGCACAAGCGGUGGAGUAUGUGGUUUAAUUCGAAGCAACGCGAAGAACCUUACCAGGCCUUGACAUCCCUUGCAGAGGUAUAGAGAUAUAUCCGAGGUUAUCAAGGAGACAGGUGGUGCAUGGUUGUCGUCAGCUCGUGUCGUGAGAUGUUGGGUUAAGUCCCGCAACGAGCGCAACCCUUGUGAUAUGUUACUAACAUUGAGUUGAGGACUCAUAUCAGACUGCCGGUGAUAAACCGGAGGAAGGUGGGGAUGACGUCAAAUCAUCAUGCCCCUUAUGGCCUGGGCUACACACGUACUACAAUGGCGUCUACAAAGAGCGGCAAGCCUGUGAAGGCAAGCGAAUCUCAUAAAGGGCGUCUCAGU
rnacentral:rRNA from 1 species